rnacentral:rRNA from 1 species
UACGGGGGGGGGCGAGCGUUGUUCGGAAUUACUGGGCGUAAAGGGCUCGUAGGCGGCCAACUAAGUCGGAUGUGAAAUCCCCAGGCUUAACCUGGGAACUGCAUCCGAUACUGGAUGGCUUGAAUCCGGGAGAGGGAUGCAGAAUUCCAGGUGUAGCGGUGAAAUGCGUAGAUAUCUGGAGGAAUACCGGUGGCGAAGGCGGCAUCCUGGACCGGCAUUGACGCUGAUGAGCGAAAGCUAGGGGAGCAAACGGGG